rnacentral:rRNA from 1 species
GACGAACGCUGGCGGCGUGCUUAACACAUGCAAGUCGAACGGAAAGGCCUUUUCGGAGGUACUCGAGUGGCACACGGGUGAGUAACACGUGGGUGAUCUGCCCUGCACUCUGGGAUAAGCCUGGGAAACUGGGUCUAAUACCGGAUAGGACCGCACUUUAGUGUGUGUGGUGGAAAGUUUUUUCGGUGUAGGAUGAGCCCGCGGCCUAUCAGCUUGUUGGUGGGGUAAUGGCCUACCAAGGCGGCGACGGGUAGCCGGACUGAGAGGUUGGUCGGCCACAUUGGGACUGAGAUACGGCCCAGACUCCUACGGGAGGCAGCAGUGGGGAAUAUUGCACAAUGGGCGCAAGCCUGAUGCAGCGACGCCGCGUGGGGGAUGACGGCCUUCGGGUUGUAAACUCCUUUCGCCAGGGACGAAGCGUUUUGUGACGGUACCUGGAGAAGAAGCACCGGCUAACUACGUG